rnacentral:misc_RNA from 1 species
AAGUCGUAACAAGGUUUCCGUAGGUGAACCUGCGGAAGGAUCAUUAUCGAAAAUCGCCACGAUCAGGCUGUGCGUCUCUCGCACGCCUCCUCGUGUGCACUUUCAACCCACACACCUGUGCACCCUCGGGACGGCCUCCUCGGAGGAAGCCCCGCUUUCUUUCACUCCACAUGUUCAGAAUGUAAAAUUUAGUGUGUAACACAUAACAACUUUCAACAACGGAUCUCUUGGCUCCC